GGUCCGUUGGUCAAGGGGUUAAGACACCGCCUUUUCACGGCGGUAACACGGGUUCGAAUCCCUCCCGUACGGACUA
rnacentral:tRNA from 1 species